rnacentral:rRNA from 1 species
UACGUAGGGCGCAAGCGUUGUCCGGAUUUAUUGGGCGUAAAGAGCUCGUAGGCGGCUCGUCGCGUCGACCGUGAAAUCCCUAGGCUUAACCUGGGGCUUGCGGUCGAUACGGGCGGGCUAGAGUUCGGUAGGGGAGACUGGAAUUCCUGGUGUAGCGGUGAAAUGCGCAGAUAUCAGGAGGAACACCGGUGGCGAAGGCGGGUCUCUGGGCCGAUACUGACGCUGAGGAGCGAAAGCGUGGGGAGCGAACAGG